rnacentral:rRNA from 1 species
CCUACGGGAGGCAGCAGUAGGGAAUCUUCGGCAAUGGGCGAAAGCCUGACCGAGCAACGCCGCGUGAAUGAUGAAGGCCUUCGGGUUGUAAAAUUCUGUUAUAAGGGAAGAACGACUUUAGUAGGAAAUGGCUAGAGUGUGACGGUACCUUAUGAGAAAGCCACGGCUAACUACGUGCCAGCAGCCGCGGUAAUACCUAGGUGGCGAGCGUUAUCCGGAAUUAUUGGGCGUAAAGAGCGCGCAGGUGGUUGAUUAAGUCUGAUGUGAAAGCCCACGGCUUAACCGUGGAGGGUCAUUGGAAACUGGUCGACUUGAGUGCAGAAGAGGGAAGUGGAAUUCCAUGUGUAGCGGUGAAAUGCGUAGAGAUAUGGAGGAACGCCAGUGGCGAAGGCGGCUUCCUGGUCUGUAACUGACACUGAGGCGCGAAAGCGUGGGGAGCAAACAGGAUUAGAUACUCUGGUAGUCCACGCCGUAAACGAUGAGUGCUAAGUGUUGGGGGUCGAACCUCAGUGCUGAAGUUAACGCAUUAAGCACUCUGCCUGGGGAGUACGGUCGCAAGACUGAAACUCAAAGGAAUUGACGGA